UACGGAGGGUGCAAACGUUGCUCGGAAUCAUUGGGCGUAAAGCGCACGUAGGCGGCCUGUUAAGUCGGGUGUGAAAGCCCUGGGCUCAACCCAGGAAGUGCACUCGAAACUGGCGGGCUUGAAUAUGGAAGAGGGUCGCGGAAUUCCCGGUGUAGAGGUGAAAUUCGUAGAUAUCGGGAGGAACACCAGUGGCGAAGGCGGCGACCUGGGGCCAAUAUUGACGCUGAGGUGCGAAAGCGUGGGGGAGCAAACAGG
rnacentral:rRNA from 1 species